rnacentral:misc_RNA from 1 species
AUGCCUAUCAAACUAAUCUUCCUUUUCGUUUAAUUUUCCCUAGAAAGAUCAAAUACUAUAAAUAAGCAGUAAGCACUUGUUCAAGCGAAAGACAGAAUGAAACCAAUCCAUGCAUGCCUUCAAAUGCUAAUAUGAAAAGUUGUCACAAAAAAGACAGGACUUCACUGAGAUAUGGCAUUAACUAGAUUCGUAGUCAUAGUAGUUCCAUUUUUGUAAUACACACAGAAGGUGAAAGGAUUAUUUCUUCCGGAAAGUUUUAAAAGAAAUGAUUAAUAAUCAAAACUCUAUCUAGAAGACCAGCUCAUAUGUUGAUCAUGGUACACUUCAAACUGAAGUAUUCUCUAUCUUCCCUUUAUUUGUUUUAGUUGCAAGGCCAGUAUACAUAAUCAAGCAGCAACUUUCUUGGAUGUUACAGAAUUGAUAAUGGUUGCAAAUUCAGGGCCCUUUAAGGAUGCACCACCAACAAGAAAACCAUCGAUAUCCUCUUGCUUUGCAAGGUCAGCACAAUUGCCUCCAUUUACAGAUCCUCCAUAAAUAAUUCGUGUUUUGGACGCAACUUCUUCUGAGACAUUCUUUUUAAGCCAAUCACGGACAGCUACAUGCACUUCCUGAGCUUGCAAAGGUGUGGCCACUUUUCCAGUCCCAAUAGCCCAUACAGGCUCAUAUGCAAUAACUAUAUUUUCCCAACUGGGCACAGCAUCUACAAAUAAUGAUACUAUUGGUGUAAGGACAUAGUUCUUCUGUUCGACAAUGUAAUGUACUAUUGACCUCCUAAUUUGUAUUUCAGGAGAAAUAAAAAUCAUGAAUUACCUGCAAAUGCCUUCAAUUGCUCAAAACAAACAUCAAAGGUUUUUCCUGCCUCUCUUUCUUCUAAAAGUUCACCAAUACAAGCUACCACCCCAAGACCCUGGCUCAAGGCAUAAGCUGCCUUCUUUCCUAUAAACUCAUUGUUUUCACCAAUUAUAUGCCUUCGCUCAGAAUGCCCAAGAAUUACCCAUUUGCAGCCAAUAUCUUUCAGUUGUUCCACACUGAUUUCUCCUGUGAAUGCCCCACCUUUACCAACCCAAGAGUUUUGAGCAGAUAUCUCAAUUCUAUCUGUUAAUGAAGCCUUCACCUGAUCAAUGUAAGGAAAGGGAGGUGCUACAACAACAUCAACAUCAGCCUCCAAUUUUGCAUCAUUUAAGUCAGAAACGAGCUUAGUGAUAGAUUCUUUUGUCCCAUUACACUUCCAGUUCCCCCCAACAAAGAACGUUCCAGUGCCAGCCAUCGCAACGACGUUCCUGGAAGGUUUGCGAAGAGAUGAAACGCGGAGUUGAGAAUUGAAAUGGCGGAGAAACGAGUGAGAAGUGUUGCUGUCGAGCUUAGAGCAUAAUCGGCGGAGGCCUGAAAAAUGAGGAGAGGAAUAUGAGGCGGCGGAUUUGGGGCCGGAGAGGGAUGCAGACAGCAUCGCCAUGGUUUUAUUGACUAUGGCUUUUCACUUUUGCUAUUGUCUGUCGGAGACUGGAAUUGAGAGAGAACCUCCGAAAG